rnacentral:rRNA from 1 species
AGGACGAACGCUGGCGGCGUGCUUAACACAUGCAAGUCGAACGGUGAAGCCCUUUCGGGGUGGAUCAGUGGCGAACGGGUGAGUAACACGUGAGCAACCUGCCCUUGACUCUGGGAUAACUUCGGGAAACCUGAGCUAAUACCGGAUAUGACACGCGGAGGCAUCUCCUGUGUGUGGAAAGGUUCAUUGGUCAAGGAUGGGCUCGCGGCCUAUCAGCUAGUUGGUGGGUAAUGGCCUACCAAGGCGACGACGGGUA